rnacentral:tRNA from 1 species
GUUCCCGUAGUGAAGUUAAAUCACACUACCUUUUCGAGGUAGAGUCGACCUCUAAGGUCCUGGAAUA